UGUAAUCUGCAUUGAUGCUUGCUUUCCACGUUUCAUUUACUCAGCAUUAAGUAUUUAUUAUUUUUUCUUUAUAUACAUAUAUAUUUUAUCUUAUUAAAAGGAAAAAAUCUUUAGUCUGAAGCAGAACAAUUAAAUUGACUCUUACUUAUGCAUGUCUAUAUAACCUUGGUCAAAGAGGUGGUACUCUUAAUCCAUUUCUUUCUUUCUUUCUUUCUUUUCUUUUGCUGAGUAAGAUUUGCCCUGCAGUAACAUCCAUUGCCAAUCCUCCUCUUUUUGCUUGAGGAAGAUUGUCCCUGAGCUAACAUCUAUGCCAACCUUCCUCUAUUUUGUAUGUGGGUCACCACCACAUCACUGACAAGUGGUGUAGGUCUGUGACCAGGGUCCGAACCCACAAACCUGGGCCGCCGAGUGGAGAGCACAAACUUAACCACUAGGCCACACGUCCAGCCCCAAUCCCUUUAGUUCUUAAGGAGUAUCACUGUUUCAAUUUUUAACAAUAAUAAUUCUUGCCUCACCACAUAUAUUCACACUUGGACAAUACUUCACUGUGUUCUUAUCUAUUUAUUUAUAUUUCUUUAAUGGUUUUCAUUGAUCCAUUAAUAAUAACAAAUCUAAAUCAAUGAAUACAGGUUAAGAACAUGAUUUUUGUAUAUUUCUAAUAUCUAUCUACAGGACGCUUUCCAAAAGAGGGAUGUGGUUAAUUAUGUUUUGUGUUGGACCUCAGAGUUCCAGGCACAUCUUAUUCACCAUCCAUGACCCAUAUGCCACUUGUCAUCAUCAUUGGUUCAGGUUUGGGUCUCUUCUUCUUCAUUCAUUUCUUUAUUUGUAUCAAAUAAAUCAUUAAUUAAUUAAUAAUAAUAAAAUGAACAUAUAAUUCACAAAAUUCAAGAAAAAGAUCUUUGAAUAUCCCUAACAUUUCUCUAUAGAAUCAUUUCCCAUACGGACUGAUUCUCUUUCAUUAAUUGACCUCAACGUUGCACAGUAUUUAUUCAUCAACAUGCUUCAUAUCAUAUUUAUCAUUGGACCAUAGUUAACUUUUUUAUUAUCUUUAAUAUGUUUCAAUAAUUCAAUGAAUACCUUUAAACAAAUAACCCAAUCUAAGACAAAAACUUUGACUACAGUCAGGUGUCACUUAACAAUGGGGAUACAUUCUGAGAAAUGCAUCAUUAAGCAGUUUUGUCCUGGUGUAAACAUCAUAGGUGAACUUACACAAACCUAGAUGGAAUAGCCUACUACACACCUAGGCUACGUGGUAUUAAUCUUACAGGACCACUCUCAUAUAUGUGGUCAG
rnacentral:lncRNA from 1 species